ensembl:lncRNA
GAACAGAGAGAACAGAGAGAGAACAGAGAGAGAACAGAGAGAACAGAGAGAGAACAGAGAGAGAACAGAGAGAGAACAGAGAGAGAACAGAGAGAGAACAGAGAGAGAACAGAGAGAGAACAGAGAGAGAACAGAGAGAGAACAGAGAGAGAACAGAGAGAGAACAGAGAGAGAACAGAGAGAAAACAGAGAGAGAACAGAGAGAGAACAGAGAGAAAACAGAGAGAGAACAGAGAGAAAACAGAGAGAGAACAGAGAGGGAACAGAGAUAAAAGAGAACAGAGAGAGCAGAGAGAGAACAGAGAGGGAACAGAGAGGGAACAGAGAGAGCAGAGAGAGAACAGCGAGAGCUGAGAGAGAACAGAGAGAGAACAGAGAUAACAGAGAACAGAGAGAGAACAGAGAGAACGUCUUCUAUUUCUCCAUUGUUCUCCACAGCUACAGACAAGGGGCAGCGCUAACAAUAAGACAGUAACCAUGUCAUGUUGUUGUCUUAGGUCGGCAGGUAGCCUAGUGGUUAGAGGCAGCUAGCCUAGUGGUUAGAGGCAGGUAGCCUAGUGGUUAGAGGCAGGUAGCCUAGUGGUUAGAGGCAGGUAGCCUAGUGGUUAGAGGCAGGUAGCCUAGUGGUUAGAGGCAGGUAGCCUAGUGGUUAGAGGCUGGUAGCCUAGUGGUUAGAGGCAGAUAGCCUAGUGGUUAGAGGCAGAUAGCCUAGUGGUUAGAGGCAGGUAGCCUAGUGGUUAGAGGCAGGUAGCCUAGUGGUUAGAGGCAGGUAGCCUAGUGGUCAGAGGCAGGUAGCCUAGUGGUUAGAGACAGGUAGCCUAGUGGUUAGAGGCAGGUAGCCUAGUGGUUAUAGCGUUGGACUAGUAACUGAAAGGUUGCUAGAUUGAAUCCCCGAGCUGACAAGGUAAAAAUCUGUCGUUCUGCCCCUGAACAGGCAGUUAACCCACUGUUCCUAGGCCGUCAUUGUAAAUAAGAAGUUAUUCUUAACUGACUUGCCUAGUUAAAUAAAGGUUAAA